rnacentral:rRNA from 1 species
UUUGGACCCACCUGACUCCAUCCCGAACUCAGAAGUGAAACGAAACAGCGUCGAUGGUAGUGUGGGGUCUCCCCAUGUGAGAGUAGAACAUCGC